rnacentral:tRNA from 1 species
UCCCUGGUGUCUCAGACAGUAAAGAAUCUGCCUGCAAUACAGGAGACCCAAGUUCAACCCUGGGCUUGGGAA